AUUUAAGUCUUUGUAAAACGUUUGCAUUUUCUGUGACUUUAUAGUUAUUGUUCAUGCUAAUUAUACAAGCUAUGCCAAUAUAAAGUCUUUGUUUUCAUUUUUAGAUCCGGAUCACAUACACAGGAGUCACUCAUUGAAGAUGAAUCACAUGGUUAGGCUGGACAGGGAUCUUCGAAUAAUUGAGAGACACCAUGGUGUAAAACGAAGGUGGCUCCCUUCGGAUGGCAUUUUCCAGAGAACACUGAGAGAUGUUGACCAGGAACUUAGAGGUCAGCUGAUACGACGAGCACAAAAUGAAGCAAGGGAGAGGGCCACUCUUCUCAACCUGAAAAGAAGAUGUAAUGAUGGACAGGGAGUUGUUAUAAGGCUGUCCAAGCAAGUGAAUGCCUGUAACAGGAAACUGAAGAAGAUUGUUACAGAGUACAAUAAUCUGCAGUGGCCUCCACAAACUGGCAUCUUUCCAUCACAUUUAGAAUUUUGAGAAUUGUGUGAUGCCUCCUCCCAGCUGUACACAUUGUUUGAUGAAGAAAUUGAAGAUCAUGGUGUUGUUCCAAAGAACCUAAAAAGUCGAGCAAUAGAAGCCCUGCAUUUGAAGACUAGAGCAACUGAAGAAAAGCUUCUACUUAAGAGAGAGAUGAACACUGUCAUUCUUCACCUUCAUCAACAACAUGGACAUUUAAGUUCAGCUAUAAAUGAUACUGCAGAUCCUGGUUCAAAAGCUGUACUUCAUCAAAACAUUAUCAUGUUAGAAAAGAAAAUGUACAGUGCAAUGAACAUGUUCAAGAGGUUUAUCGAAGUUGGUGCCCCUCCUCCAAAUCAUCACCUACCAGAGUUUAACUCUUAUUCUCAAGCACUUAUGUCUCCAGAUCUAUAUUACAUAGACUAUGAUGAAAGCAUUGACGAUGGAGAGGAUGAAGCAGAUGAUGACGACAAUGUUGACGAAGGAGAGAACAGCAUAGAUUGUGAAUCAUCUUCAUGAUUUAUGGCCACUUACUGUUCUAUGUGAAGAGCACAUAUUCCAGUAUAAAAAGUUCAUUGAUGAUUUUCAUAUAAGCUUUUUGUUCUAACAUCUCAGUUUAUUGUUUUUGAUAUUGUUGAGACAUAUCUGUUUUUUAAGUCAAGCUAUAUAUAAUCAAGGGCAUUUUAAUUUUACUCAUUACAGCUUUGUAGUCUUUUUCACAUUUAUUAAUGUUCUUGUUCAGUAUGACAUUGUUAAUGACUAAACUUUAUUUACAGUUUGAAUUUAACUCUUAAUCUUGAGAUGCUGCAUAAUCUGCUUUACAUAAUAUCUUUAAAUUUGAGCACAACAAUGAAAUAACUAAAACGUAGUGGACAAAUAUUUUGUGAUGUUGAUAUUUGAGAAAUAUUUGACUGUUAUCCAAGAAUUACAUUAUUUUGAAGGGCACUACUCUGUAUUAAAAAUUCAUUAAGAGCUA